AUCCAGCUGACGAGUCGUAAGUAUGGCGAAACGCGCGUCCUGGAU
rnacentral:hammerhead_ribozyme from 1 species